GACGAACGCUGGCGGCGUGCCUAAUACAUGCAAGUAGGACGCAGUUGCGAACGGGUGAGUAACGCGUAGGUAACUGCCUAGUAGAGGGGGAUAACUAUUGGAAACGAUAGCUAAUACCGCAUACUAGUAGAUGGACCUGCGUUGUAUUAGCUAGUAGGUAGGGUAAUGGCCUACCAAGGCAACGAUACAUAGCCGACCCGAGAGGGUGAACGGCCACACUGGGACUUGGACACGGCCCAGGCUCCUACGGGAGGCAGCAGUAGGGAAUCUUUGGAAAUGGGGGGAACCCUGAACGAGCAACGCCGCGUGAGUGAAGAAGGUUUUCGGAUCGUAAAGCUCUGUUGUUAAGGAAGCGGUACUUAACCAGAAAGGGCCGGCUAACUACGUGCCAGCAGCCGCGGUAAUAC
rnacentral:rRNA from 1 species